rnacentral:rRNA from 1 species
CUGCUGCCUUCCGUAGGAGUCUGGGCCGUAUCUCAGUCCCAAUGUGGCCGGCCAACCUCUCAGUCCGGCUACUGAUCGUCGCCUUGGUGGGCCGUUGCCCCACCAACUAGCUAAUCAGACGCGAGGCCAUCUUUCGGCGAUGAAUCUUUGGCAUCAGAGCCAUGCGACCCCGAUGCUUCAUGCGGUAUUAGCAGUCGUUUCCAACUGUUGUCCCCCUCCGAAAGGCAGGUUCCUCACGCGUUA